GUCUUUGUCUGUCUCUCUCUGUCUCUGUCUGUCUCUGUCUGUCUCUCUCUGUCUCUCUCUGUCUCUGUCUCUGUCUCUCUCUCUCUGUCUUGUGCUUGUGGAUCAGGUUCAGGUUCUCAGCUGCUGUCCCAGCUCCGUGCCUGCCUGUCUGCUGAUGUGUUCCCUGCCAUGAUGGCCAUGGCCGCUAACCCUCUGGAACCAAACGCUCCCAAAUCAAUGCUUUCUUUUUUAUAAGUUACCCUGGUGUUUUGCCACUGCAAUAGAAAAGUAAGCGGGACACAAGGUCUCCCUGCUCUGUAGACCAGGCUGGCCUUGAACUCACAGAGAUCCACUUGCCUCCAACUCCUGGGUGCUGGGAUCAAAGGCGUGCGCCACCACACCCAGCUUCAUUCUAAGGAUGAGAAAACCAACUUGAAAACCUCUAGCAGGCUGUCUGGUCCCAUGCUGGGGGUUUAAUCUAGCUGUCUUCACACACUGUGUCCCUGAUUCCUGAGUCCCCCUGUCCCUAAGCAGGACCGCACAUGCAUCCCUGCCUCUGUAAGUGUGGUCCACUCCUAUUGAUAAAGUGUAGGUGAGGGGGGGGCUAUUGUCAGCCCUGAUUUGACAGUGACAGUGCAGUUUGGGGGACCCCCUGCAAGAGUGGCCCUCCUGUUCUCUGUGGGGCUAUUCUCGGGCUCCCUGCCCUCUCGAACUUUCCCUCCAAUCCAAAGGAUGUCAGACCUCUUAUCUCACUGGGUGUGCACCUCCUUGGGGCUCUGUAAGGACAUUCUGGCCUCACAGAGGUUGGUGACUCAGCCAGGGUCCCCAGAGAAGUCCGACAGGGCAGGGGUCCCAUUUGGACCACUUGUCGCGGUCCUCACGGCCACCACACACCCUCCAUCUGGCAUGGGAGUGGGGCUAAGGAGUGGGGGUGACUUUCUCGGAUGGUCCAUCCCAAGUGCACAGAGAGACGCUCCGGGGCUCCAGCCCUGCCCACAGCUCAGAGCGAGCUGCUUGUGGUCACUCGCUUCCUUACCACGAGCUCAGGAUGUUGAAACUCUCUGAUGGUAGUAGAUGUUCCUUCUUGCUCCACAGUCCCGGGUUGGGUGUUGGGCGUGGAAGCCUGUACGUGGACCCGUUGUUGGAGUGCUGAACCAGGAGCCUCGGAUGAAAAUCGCUCAGAGCAGUAUUGUUCACUCUGGAAGAAUCCGGAGCCUGCCCCAGUACCCAUCAGCGGCGGAGAGGAUGAAUGAGCUGUGGCUAUGGUCAUGUGGUGAAAUGUUAGACAGCGGUCAAAAACGAGUGUCCCCGCCUAACAUGCCACAGUGGGAUGGAUCUGGCAACAGGAAACCAAGAUGAAAAGGUCCCAAGGGAUGGUUUGCUGCAUGACACUUUUGAAUAAGGUUAAAAACCCUGAAUAUGAAAUCUUAAUUUUAUGGAAUUCAUAUGCAUGUAAUUAAGUUAUAUGAAGUGUUAAGUAAGGGAAUGUGGGCCUGGGAUUAAGACAGCCGUUACUACAGAUGGAGCCCAGGGCAGAGUUAGAGACGGGCUGGAGUGAAGGAUGGGCCGUUGUUCUGGGUGAUGGGUUUAUGAACUUUCAUUACAUGAGUUGACCAAUGUAACUAAACAGUGCCAACAGAAGCGGGCAGGGCCCAGACCAUUAAUAGGAUUGCCAUGGACCAAGGAGUCUGUAAACCUGGGAUCCAAACUGAAAACCCAAACCAAAGGAAAGGCACAGAGAAGGCUCUUAUGCCAUCCCCCUAAGAAGACAACUGGAAAAAAAAUAUAUGUGAUGGGAAGUAAGCACUUGGCAGCCAGACUCUGGGAAAGGACAUUGCCACUUUGCUUUGCUUUAAGACAGAGUCCUGUGUGGCCCAGGCUGGCCUCGAACUCACUGCAUAGCCAUGGACGACCUUGGUUCUGGAAGACAGGCAUGUAGUGCCGAGGCCUGUACUUUGGCUUCCCACACACUAACAUGCCCAGCCACCCUCAUAAGAGUUAUAGCUGUCCCUCGCUUGGUUCCAGGAUCUCUCAAGUACUUCGGAUACUCGAGUCUCUUAAAGAAAAUGGCACAGCAUUCACAUAUGUCUUACACAAUUCCUCCCAUAUACUUUGAAUUAUCUCUAGAUUACUUAUAAUAAUACGCAGUUGUUAUGAUGUCAA